GAGGGUACAGCUCAGUGGUAGAGCGUGUGCUUAGCAUGCACAAAGUCCUGGGUUCAAUCCCCAGUACCUCCA
rnacentral:tRNA from 1 species